rnacentral:rRNA from 1 species
CGGACGGGUGAGUAAUGUAUAGUUAAUCUGCCCUUUAGAGGGGGAUAACAGUUGGAGACGACUGCUAAUACCCCAUACUCCUUUUACAUUAAUUGUAAUUGGGAAAUGUUUUUUCGCUAAAGGAUGAGACUAUAUGGUAUCAGGUAGUUGGUAGGGUAAGAGCCUACCAAGCCAAUGACGCCUAGCUGGUCUGAGAGGAUGAUCAGCCACACUGGAACUGAGACACGGUCCAG